rnacentral:rRNA from 1 species
UAGUCCACGCCGUAAACGAUGUCAACUAGCCGUUGGAGGACUUGAUCCUUUAGUGGCGCAGCUAACGCACUAAGUUGACCGCCUGGGGAGUACGGCCGCAAGGUUAAAACUCAAAUGAAUUGACGGGGGCCCGCACAAGCGGUGGAGCAUGUGGUUUAAUUCGAUGCAACGCGAAGAACCUUACCAGGCCUUGACAUCCAGAGAAGUCGCUAGAGAUAGCUUCGUGCCUUCGGGAACUCUGUGACAGGUGCUGCAUGGCUGUCGUCAGCUCGUGUCGUGAGAUGUUGGAUUAAGUCCCGUAACGAGCGCAACCCUUGUCCUUAGUUGCUAGCAGGUUAUGCUGAGAACUCUAAGGGAGACUGCCGGUGACAAACCGGAGGAAGGUGGGGGACGACGUCAAGUCAUCAUGGGCCCUUACGGGCCUGGGGCUACACACGUGCUACAAUGGUCGGUAC